UGCGUAGGCGGAAUUUUAAGUCAGUGGUGAAAUCCUGCAGCUCAACUGUAGAACUGCCAUUGAUGCUGAUCUUCUUGAAUUUAGUUGAGGUGGGCGGAACGUGUAAUGUAGCGGUGAAAUGCUUAGAUAUUACACAGAACACCGAUUGCGAAGGCAGCUCACUAAACUAACAUUGACGCUGAGGCACGAAAGCGUGGGUAGCGAACAGGAUUAGAUACCCUGGUAGUCC
rnacentral:rRNA from 1 species